rnacentral:rRNA from 1 species
AGUGAACGCUGGCGGUAGGCCUAACACAUGCAAGUCGAACGGCAGCACAGUAAGAGCUUGCUCUUACGGGUGGCGAGUGGCGGACGGGUGAGGAAUACAUCGGAAUCUACUUUUUCGUGGGGGAUAACGUAGGGAAACUUACGCUAAUACCGCAUACGACCUACGGGUGAAAGCAGGGGAUCUUCGGACCUUGCGCGAUUGAAUGAGCCGAUGUCGGAUUAGCUAGUUGGCGGGGUAAAGGCCCACCAAGGCGACGAUCCGUAGCUGGUCUGAGAGGAUGAUCAGCCACACUGGAGCUGAGACACGGUCCAGACUCCUACGGGAGGCAGCAGUGGGGAAUAAUGGACAAUGGGCGCAAGCCUGAUCCAGCCAUACCGCGUGGGUGAAGAAGGCCUUCGGGUUGUAAAGCCCUUUUGUUGGGAAAGAAAAGCAGCAGGUUAAUACCCCGCUGUUCUGACGGUACCCAAAGAAUAAGCACCGGCUAACUUCGUG